rnacentral:lncRNA from 10 species
CAGGAGUGGGUGAGGGAUAAGACUACACAUAAGGUGGAGUUCAUACACAUGAGGGAUAAGACUACACAUAAAGUAGAGUUCAUACUGCUCACAUGACAGGUGCACCAAAAUCUCAGAAAUCACCACUGAAGAACUUAUUCAUGUAACCAAAAACCACCUGUUCCCCAAAAACUAUUGAAAUAAAAAAAGAACCUCAUGAAUAUUUUUUAAAAGCCUAUGGGAAAAAAAUUACAAUCUAAGUUAUGACUAUUACCACCCUUUCACCAUUUCUGAAAGCUCAGCUGAUUCUAUAUGAACUUCUACAACAUCACUACCCAGUAGAACUUUGUAUUACGCAAACCAAUUAUUACUAGGCCGCUCUCCCCAUAACUCAAUUCUGCCUAUGGACUCACUUGGAGUGGAGUGGAACAGUUGAUUAAACUGCUUAUAGGAUUUUCUCAGAUGUUCAUAUAUGUAAUUCACACACUCAAAACUCUGAACAAGUAAUACCUUCCUAUGUACAAUUAACUAUAUUUGUAUUUUUGGAUUGGCAGGCAAAUGAAUAAAAGAACAUCUUUUAUUUACCCGUA